GUGAACUGCAGGACACAUGAACAUCGACAUUUCGAACGCACAUUGCGGUCCUCGGAUACUGUUCCUGGACCACUCCUGGCUGAGGGUCGUA
rnacentral:rRNA from 1 species